AGUGAACGCUGGCGGUAGGCCUAACACAUGCAAGUCGAACGGCAGCACAGUAAGAGCUUGCUCUUACGGGUGGCGAGUGGCGGACGGGUGAGGAAUACAUCGGAAUCUACUUUUUCGUGGGGGAUAACGUAGGGAAACUUACGCUAAUACCGCAUACGACCUACGGGUGAAAGCAGGGGAUCUUCGGACCUUGCGCGAUUGAAUGAGCCGAUGUCGGAUUAGCUAGUUGGCGGGGUAAAGGCCCACCAAGGCGACGAUCCGUAGCUGGUCUGAGAGGAUGAUCAGCCACACGGGAACUGAGACACGGUCCAGACUCCUACAGGAGGCAGCAGUGGGGAAUAUUGGACAAUGGGCGAAAGCCUGAUCCAGCCAUACCGCGUGGGUGAAGAAGGCCUUCGGGUUGUAAAGCCCUUUUGUUGGGAAAGAAAAGCAGCAGGUUAAUACCCCGCUGUUCUGACGGUACCAAAAGAAUAAGCACCGGCUAACUUCGUG
rnacentral:rRNA from 1 species